rnacentral:tRNA from 1 species
GCAUUAGUGGGGUAGUGGUAACCUGGGUCGUUGCCAUAACCUGUUUCGACCCGCCGGGAGUUCGAUUCUCUCCUAAUGCA